CGGUUUUUCCGUUCUGGGCAGGUGCUGCUUGGCUAGACAGUCAGCUCGUGUCGUCGAGAUGUUGGGUUGAGUCCCGCAACGAGCGCAACCCUUGUCUCUAGUUGCUACGAAAGGGCACUCUAGAGAGACUGCCGGUGACAAACCGGAGGAAGGUGGGGAUGACGUCAAGUCCUCAUGGCCCUUAUGGGUAGGGCUUCACACGUCAUACAAUGGUGCAUACAGAGGGUUGCCAAGCCGCGAGGUGGAGCUAAUCCCAGAAAAUGCAUCGUAGUCCGGAUCGUAGUCUGCAACUCGACUACGUGAAGCUGGAAUCGCUAGUAAUCGCGGAUCAGCAUGCCGCGGUGAAUACGUUCCCGGGUCUUGUACACACCGCCCGUCACACCAUGGGAGUGGGCUUUACCAGAAGUAGUUAGCCUAACCGCAAGGAGGGCGAUUACCACGGUAGGGUUCAUGACUGGGGUGAAGUCGUAACAAGGUAGCCGUAUCGGAAGGUGCGGCUGGAUCACCUCCUUUAAGAGCGUGCAUCCUAGUUAGGCGUCCACACUUAUCGGUUUGUUUGAUGUUACAGCCAAGGGUCUGUAGCUCAGGUGGUUAGAGCACCGUCUUGAUAAGGCGGGGGUCGUAGGUUCAAGUCCUACCAGACCCACCAAGUUACGGACGGUGGAAGUCUUCGGGGGCCCUGGGGGGAACCUCCCCCCCCGUCCAGAGGCGGAUGUCAUGGGACGGAAAUUGAGGAUUGGGGGAAUGUACGAGUGGCCGUUGGGGGAGUGUUUGGGGUGUAGGUUUGUUGAUGUGUUUUGGGGUUUGGGGUUUGGGGUUUGUUGGGGGUUGAAUUUGGGGUUUGGGUUUUUUUGGGGAUAUUGUGGGGUGUUUGCAGGGCUUUGGGUGGGGUUUUUGUUUGGGGGGGUUGUUUGUUUUGGGGGGGGGGGGUGUGUGUGUAGCCGGGUGAUGUGGGGGGUGUGUGUGGUGGUGGUUGCGGGUGUUUGGUGUUUGGUGUUUGGGGGGUGGGGGGGGGGGGGUGGGGGGGGGGGGGGGGGGGGGGGGGGGGGGGGGGUGUGGGGUGGUGGGGGGUGGGGGGUGGGGGUUGUUGUUUUGGGGUUGGUGGUG
rnacentral:sRNA from 1 species